UUUGCGUUGCGUUGCAGUUUAUUGAGCUCGAUCGAGAAGUGGGACGAAGAAGGCCGUUAAUAAUUCAACUACUUAAAGAAUGCGGGUUAGAUGUGGACGACUUCGAAGACAUUUGCAGUAGGCUAAACAGAGAAAGAGAGGGAGACCCAAAACUACUUGUCCUGGCAUCACAUUUGAGGAGGAGAUGAAGUCGGUGAAUAUGACCUAGCCCGGGGGAGUUUCCAGAAGACGGCCCAGAACCACUGGCCGCCAGGAGUGGAGGUCCUUUGUUGUUGCUCUACAUGUCAGGAGGCAUCGGGCAGUAGCCCUGGUAGAAGCACCAUCUUGAUACCAUCAUUCAAACUCUCAUCAGCUGUAUCAUUAUAGGUGGACUAAAAGAACAAUAUUAAUGCAGAUAUAAUGAUGCCUUAAGUUGAAAUGGAAGGUGUCCUGAAUCUGUAGGGACAGUGAUUUUCCGCGAUCGCGGAAAACGGACGGAAUUCACGGAAAGGGUGUUUUGAAACGGAAAGUGUCAUUUCAAACGGAAAAUCACGGAAAACGCAUUUUCCCUCAAAAUACACAGAAUAGCAACAGAAAUUACUCCAAAAUCACAACAAAAUGAGAAUAUUAAAUGGCCACAAAACACCAGAAAACACGAUCUCACUUCGCUACUUUCAUGACAAUUCACACAUCGUGACUGCACUCGACAUCAGCACACUUGAUUGUACCCCGCACCGUACCCGUACCCUGCCGGCGCCGGGUUGGGCUUCACAUGCACACACAUAUCGUUCAACUACACGGUUGUGUGUUGCUGCCCUCUACGUUUGAAGAUGUAACAGCACGAUAUCGUGGUCUUAAAAUCCAAGAUGGCGGAUUGGCAAAAGCCGUUGACUGAUGAUAACGAUGUCCAAAAAACCCCAAAAUUAUCGAUGAAAUAUCAUCUACCGUGAAAUAAUGCUAAUAAUGUGAAAGGUGAGGAUGUAUGCAUGCUAAAUGGGGUUGGAAAAAUAUUUUAUGCACCCGCAUAGAUCCGAUUAGAACGGAUUCUAUUGUGUUGUUGGUACAGUAGCAGAUACAAAUUUUGACCAGUGCGAGUGUUGUGAUUUUGCUAUUCAAUGUGUAAACGGAAUUGUCACUUUUCCGUGUGUACAAAGUCUAUGGGGGAAACGGAAUUUCCGUUUUCUGACAUGCUGAAACGGAAUUUGAGAUUUUCUGAAACGGAAAAGGCAAUUUUUUUAAACGGAAAAUCACUGUCCCUAAAUCUGCACCCAUUCAUCUGGUUUCGUAACUCCUUUCAUAGUGCUAUUGGAACCUGCUCCCUACCAGUAUAACAUCAAACAGAUUGGAAGAAUAAAGGCCAAUGGGAAGUGCCUUUUAUAUUUCUACUUGCCACAAAGCAGUCCAUGGUUUAGCGCUAUCUAAACUGGACUAUUGUAAUGCUCUUCGUGCUUGAAUUAGGGCGAUCUGGACUGACUGCAUAUAGUACAGAAUGCUGCAUCUAUUGUGCCAUUUGCCAUACGCCAACUUCGCUGGCUGCAAGUCAAGGAAAGGAUAUACAUGAACAUCAGUGUCCGUCUCCUGAUUUUCAAAGUCAUUGACAGAGAUCCAGAUUACAUGUUUUAUAAGGAAUCCCUUGUGCGUCAUUUUCAUUCUAGGCGCACUUGCCUUUUUAUUUUUGUGAUCAUUACGCACCUACGAAUUAGCUACUGGUGAUGCAACUUUCUCCACUACUGCUCCAAGGCCGUGGAAUUAGCUCCUUCCUCUCCUCCAGUUGUCAACAACCUUGGAUCAAUCCAAAUACAAUUUGAGAAGACCUACCAUCCUGAUCUUUGCUCUGUACUUACAACAAUACUGUCACUGUCUGGUAAUUUGAAUUUUUUAAAUCUCAUGCGCUUUGUAUCUCGCAAAAUAACGUGUUGUGUAAAAGCGAACAUGCAUUGAGGUCAAGUUUAAGGGUAACCAUGGAUAUUGCCUUUUAUUACUUUUUAACAAAACUGAAAAAUUCAUCCAAAUUAGACAAGGGAUAAUAAAGUAAUGUAUGACAUUCUAACCUCUGCAUUAUUUUGGUGAAAGAGCUCUAAGCAUAUAUGCAAGUAGCAAGCUGAUGAUGUCAUACUGACGUACAUUGUACAUGUACACGUAUCCCCAACUUAUUAUUUUGUAUAUAAAAUUGUGCAUUUAAUUUUGUUUACCAAGAAUGAAACAAAUCGGAUUGUAAACUGUAUUGAUGUGACUUACCUGUAUUGAUUAUUGCUGGAAGUUCUUUUGCUACAUGGGAUUGGAAGACAUACUUAUUACACACAUGAAGUAAAUUAUUAUUUUAUCUGGUAACAUGAGAACAAUAAAAGUGUGGGCAUAAUAUCAUAAACUUACAUGUAUCUACUUGCAUGUGUUGAUGACCAAUAUUUUUGUAAUUAUUUUUUUUUAAAUUUUAUCUGAUUUUGAUAAAAUUUUCACUAUUUUGCAUGGUAAAAAUUACUUUAUUUUAGAUAAUGUUGAGCCCGUAUCAUAUACAAGUACAACUUUAAAGAUAAAUUACCAGUUGUAGUAACAAUCUUAAAAUGAGUUCGAACAGAAUCCAAUAGAAUUACCAGCAAAAUAUAAAAGACAUGUGCCAUAAUUAAUUAUAGCUCGGGAAGAAAAUGUGUAAUUGCUGAGAAAUGAGCAAAAUAAGCAUGUAAUUCUAUCCAAUGUCAGGUAUUUUUCAAAUCAAUCAUAAUACACUGUCCUGUCCCACAUGUUCUUUUCUGUGUUAGUGAUCAUCAAAAUAAUUAAUUUUAAGUUCAAAAUUAGUGAUUUUACAAAAAUACAAGCGUACAUUAAUGUACCAGAUCUAGAGAUUAUGUACAAUAUUUUGACAAUUUCUCAUGAAAUAAUUGUUUGCUGCAACUGCUGUCUUUUUAAUACGUUUAAGUGAUAGUGUAAUACAACCACAAACUUUUCUUAAGAAUGAAUGUAUAUGUAUGAUUCUUUCACCCAAAUUUACAUGCAUUGAUACUGUUGACUACUUGCCAAAAGUUCCUGCCAAAAGCCUUUUUUAACGAUGUACAUGCUUUUAUAGACGACCUGCCAAAACAUUGUAUUGUAUUAUAUUCAAGGUCCAACCAAAAAGAGAUGAAUAAAAUGUUUGAAGGAAAUUGAAAUUAACUUUAAAAAUGAUAGAGCUCUGUCAAUGCAGUAUUAUUACAGGGUUCCCACAGUCAUGGAAAAUCCUGGAAAAAAAUUGGUCAUGGAAAGUCAGGGAUAUGUGAAAAGUCAUGGAAUUGCAUUUACCUCUUGGCUAUGACAGCUUUCUAGUUUUUUAUGUCUCACAACUCUCAUACUCUGUGAUUGUACUCUACUAUUAUAAUUGGUGUUCAUGAUCAUAACAUGUCUGAUUUUGUAAACUGUGCCAGAAAGGAAUUAAGUCAUGGAAAGCAGCAAUUUAGUCAUGGAGAGGUCAUGGAAUUCUGUUUUCAAAUUUCUGUGGGAACCAUGAAUAGGUUUGUGCACUUGACACAGUGUGCACUACAGAUGAACUUUGUAAUGCCAUGAUAUAAACCAGUACAAUAUCUUAAAGGAAAAUAAAACCCAAAAUAUAAUACCACAUGAUACCAUUGAUAAAUACAGGACAAUGAAAAUGAAUCCACUCAUAUACCCCCAAUCCGAUGUCCCAGUAUGGAGUACCACCUUUUCAAAGUUGGCAUCUUCUGGUACAAAGUCUAUGGAUGGGGAUUAUUCCGUCAGCGACGAACUACAUCUCUAAACGUUUGGGCAUUAUAUAUUCUAUUUCAUCGAUAAUAAAUCAAAUGUACAGAUAAAACUCAUAAAAUAUUAAUUAAAAUUUGUUUAAUAUUAUAUGAUAGGUUCAAAUUACGACUUGAUGAGUUUUAAUGAUAAAAAUUACACCCUAAUCUACGAUUUACAAAUUGGCAGCGGAAAUUGGGGUGUAAAUCUUAUCAUUAAAACUCAUCAAAUUGUAUUUUGAACCUACCAUAUAUUAAACAAAUUUUAACUAAUAUUUUUAUGAGUUUUAUCUGUACAUUUGAUUUGUUAUUGAUAAAAUAGAAUAUAUAAUGCCUAAACGUUUAGAGAUGUAGUUCGUCGCUGAUGUAAUAAUUUCCUAACUAACCCCGCGAAAAUGGCGACCUCCAUCCAGAAACUUCGAACCAUACUGUAAGAGGCCAACUUUGAAAAGGUGGUACUCCGUAAUUGGAUUAGGGUAUGAGUGGAUUCAUGUUGAUUGUCCUGUAUUUAUCAAUAAUAUCAUGUGGUAUUAUGUUUUGGGUGUUAUUUUCCUUUAAUUCAGAUAUUACAUGCCAGGGUAUUGUCCUAGUUUUCAUUUUCUCCAAAUACAUAUUAUCAUCUCUCGUCUAUUUCUACUUGCCCUUCAGCCUUGAAGUAAACUUGGGAUAAUUAUGCAUUUUGUUAUACGCAAUUUUGAGUACAGUGCACUUUGCCGCAGCUACUUAUAUGAUAUUACCUAUUGUAGACACAUCCUUAUGUUUUGUUCAUUUUCUUAAAAACGAUUAAGAGUUUAAUAAUUUUUGUCUUUAAGCAUAAAACAAAGAGUAAAUCAGUCCAUUCUGUAUGUGUGACCUGCAAAAAAACUACAAUGGUCGUUAAUUUGGUUUGCUGAAAAGCCAGAUAACCUUUGAGGUAACUUUUUAAAGUAUUUAGAAGAAAUGUAUCUUUUUUAAAAGUAUUUAUAUGCACUGUAACUAAUUUCUUUGAUAGUUACUAUUAUGUUACACUGUUUGUACAGUAAAGCAGCUGUUACACAAUUUUUGUCAAUAGCAAAUCUAAACCAGUAUUGUAAAUUGAUGACUCUAUGAGCUAAAUACCAGUACUUUCUAUAUCA